CAGUGGGGAAUAUUGCACAAUGGGCGCAAGCCUGAUGCAGCGACGCCGCGUGGGGGAUGACGGCCUUCGGGUUGUAAACCUCUUUCACCAUCGGCGAAGCCGGUAGCUUUUGUUGUCGGUGACGGUAGGUGGAGAAGAAGCACCGGCCAACUACGUGCCAGCAGCCGCGGUAAUACGUAGGGUGCGAGCGUUGUCCGGAAUUACUGGGCGUAAAGAGCUCGUAGGUGGUUUGUCGCGUUGUCCGUGAAGUUCCCUGGCUUAACUGGGGGCGUGCGGGCGAUACGGGCAGACUGGAGUACUGCAGGGGAGACUGGAAUUCCUGGUGUAGCGGUGGAAUGCGCA
rnacentral:rRNA from 1 species